AGUCGAACGAACCUGUGUUGAAAAGCUUCGGUGGAUUAACACAGUGUUAGUGGCGAAUGGGUGAGUAAUGCAUAGGUAACUUGCCCCUAAGACCGGGAUAACUUUUCGAAAGGAAAGCUAAUACCGGAUAUUCUCUUUAAAUCAUAUGAUUUAAAGAGGAAAUGAAUUUUGCUUAGGGAUAGGCUUAUGUCUGAUUAGCUUGUUGGUGGGGUAAAGGCCUACCAAGGCAUUGAUCAGUAGCUGGUCUGAGAGGAUGGUCAGCCACACUGGGACUGAGAUACGGCCCAGACUCCUACGGGAGGCAGCAGUGAGGAAUAUUGCGCAAUGGGGGAAACCCUGACGCAGCGACGUCGCGUGAAUGAUGAAGUCCUUAGGGAUGUAAAGUUCUGUCAAGAGGGAGUAUAAUGAUAGUACCUCUAAAGGAAGCUCCGGCUAAUUACGUGCCAGCAGCCGCGGUAAUACGUAAGGAGCGAACGUUAUCCGGAUUUAUUGGGUAUAAAGUGCGCGUAGGCGGUUACUUAAGUUAGGUGUUAAAUCCUUUAGCUCAACUAAAGUCUGCAUCUAAAACUGAGUAACUAGAGAAUAGUAGAGGAAAGCGGAACUCACAGUGUAGCGGUGAAAUGCAUAGAUAUUGUGAGGAACACCGGUUGCGAAGGCGGCUUUCUGGCCUAUUUCUGACGCUGAGGUGCGAAAGCGUGGGGAGCGAACGGGAUUAGAUACCCCGGUAGUCCACGCCGUAAACGUUGUUCACUGGGUGUUGGAGG
rnacentral:rRNA from 1 species